UGCCACAGCCAUAUCACCCUGCAGCCCAAGACUGGUUGCCCACUGAAGCUAAGCAUGGUGGAGCCUGGUCAGUACCUGGAUGGGAGACCUCCUGGGAUAAACUAGGUUGCUGCAGGAA
rnacentral:rRNA from 1 species